GGUGAAUAAAUUAUGACCAUUUUCAUUUUUUGGUGAACUAACCCUUUAAAGAGCAGCCCUCCACGUCCAUGAAAAUUUGUGAGGUAUGUGAAUGUCAUCGAACUCCACCGCAG